rnacentral:rRNA from 1 species
UGAAUACGAGACGCUAAGGCGUUGAAGUAGUGUAUGUCAUACUUCCAAGAAAAGCUUGCACUGUCAUAGAUAAAAAACGCCUGUACCAUAACCGACACAGGUGGGUAGGUAGAGUAUACUAAGGGGCGCGAGAUAACUCUCUCUAAGGAACUCGGCAAAAUAACUCCGUAACUUCGGGAGAAGGAGUGCCUUAUUUAUAAGGCUGCAAUAACAAGAUCCAAGCAACUGUUUAUCAAAAACACAGGUCUCCGCUAAGUCGUAAGACGAUGUAUGGGGGCUGACGCCUGCCCAGUGCCAGAAGGUUAAAGAAGUUGGUUAGCAAUAGCGAAGCUGAUAACUGAAGCCCUGGUGAACGGCGGCCGUAACAAUAACGGUCCUAAGGUAGCGAAAUUCCUUGUCGGGUAAGUUCCGACCCGCACGAAAGGCGUAAUGAUUUGGAUACUGUCUCGGAGAGGGGCUCGGUGAAAUAGACUUGUCUGUGAAGAUGCGGACUACCUGCACCAGGACAGAAAGACCCUAUGAAGCUUUACUGUAACUUGAAAUUGAAAUUGGACUUUAUUCGCGCAGUAUAGGUGGGAGGCGUUGAUUGUAAUCUUGCGGGAUUAUUGGAGCCAUCAGUGAGAUACCACCCUUGUAAUGUUAGAUUUCUAACUUUGAAUCAUUAUCUGGUCAAAGAACAGUUUCAGGCGGGCAGUUUGACUGGGGCGGUCGCCUCCUAAACGGUAACGGAGGCGUACAAAGGUUUCCUCUGAACGGUUAGAAAUCGUAUCUAGAGUGUAAAGGCAUAAGGAAGCUUGACUGUGAGACCUACAAGUCGAGCAGGGACGAAAGUCGGUCUUAGUGAUCUGACGGUACUGAGUGGAAAGGCCGUCACUCAACGGAUAAAAGUUACUCUAAGGAUAACAGGCUGAUCUCCCCCAAGAGUUCACAUCGACGGGGAGGUUUGGCACCUCGAUGUCGGCUCAUCGCAUCCUGGGGCGGUAGUACGUCCCAAGGGUUGGGCUGUUCGCCCAUGAAAGCGGUACGCGAGCUGGGUUCAGAACGUCGUGAGACAGUUCGGUCCAUAUCCGGUGUAGGCGUUAGAAUAUUGAGAGGAGCCUUCUUUAGUACGAGAGGACCGAGAAGGACAUACCUCUGGUGUACCAGUUAUCGUGCCAACGGUAAACGCUGGGUAGCUAUGUAUGGAGUGGAUAACCGCUGAAAGCAUCUAAGUGGGAAGCCCACCUCAAGAUAAGUAUUCUC